GAUGAUACCAUAACAAAAAAAAGUAUGUUCUGGCAUGCUUAAGGGUAGUGUGUGUCAAUAGCACUAUAGGCUGAAAAGGAAAUGUUUCAAUGUUGUUCCGGAAAAUGAAGUGCUCUCAAGGAAACCACCAGGUUUUACUGAUGAAGAUUGGGCAAAGCUUGUGCGGAAGUGGACUGAUCCAAAACAUAAGGAAACAUCUAAAAAGAAUAAAUAGAAUCGAGAAAAAGUCAGGCUUCACCAAACCACAGGUUCUCGAAGCUAUGUAGCCCAAACAUUUUCCUUGAAGGAGCAUGAUAAUGGGGAAGAAACCAAUUUGAUUGAUCUUUUCAAGGCAACCCACUACAGUAAGAAAAAGGGUUAUAUUGAUGCU